rnacentral:piRNA from 1 species
CUUUUGGAGCCUGCCAGCAAU